rnacentral:rRNA from 1 species
UACGUAGGUGGCAAGCGUUGUCCGGAAUUAUUGGGCGUAAAGCGCGCGCAGGCGGUUUCAUAAGUCUGUCUUAAAAGUGCGGGGCUUAACCCCGUGAGGGGAUGGAAACUAUGGAACUGGAGUAUCGGAGAGGAAAGCGGAAUUCCUAGUGUAGCGGUGAAAUGCGUAGAUAUUAGGAAGAACACCAGUGGCGAAGGCGGCUUUCUGGACGACAACUGACGCUGAGGCGCGAAAGCCAGGGGAGCGAACGGGAUUAGAAACCCGGGUCGGCUGACUGACU